rnacentral:rRNA from 1 species
AGUGAACGCUGGCGGUAGGCCUAACACAUGCAAGUCGAACGGCGGCACAGUAAGAGCUUGCUCUUACGGGUGGCGAGUGGCGGACGGGUGAGGAAUACAUCGGAAUCUACUUUUUCGUGGGGGAUAACGUAGGGAAACUUACGCUAAUACCGCAUACGACCUACGGGUGAAAGCAGGGGAUCUUCGGACCUUGCGCGAUUGAAUGAGCCGAUGUCGGAUUAGCUAGUUGGCGGGGUAAAGGCCCGCCAAGGCGACGAUCCGUAGCUGGUCUGAGAGGAUGAUCAGCCACACUGGAACUGAGACACGGUCCAGACUCCUACGGGAGGCAGCAGUGGGGAAUAUUGGACAAUGGGCGCAAGCCUGAUCCAGCCAUACCGCGUGGGUGAAGAAGGCCUUCGGGUUGUAAAGCCCUUUUGUUGGGAAAGAAAAGCAGCAGGUUAAUACCCCGCUGUUCUGACGGUACCCAAAGAAUAAGCACCGGCUAACUUCGUG